GAUGAACGCUGGCGGCGUGCUUAACACAUGCAAGUCGAACGAAGCACUUUAAUCGAUUUCUUCGGAUUGAAAUUUUAGUGACUGAGUGGCGGACGGGUGAGUAACGCGUGGGUAACCUGCCUCACACAGGGGGAUAACAGUUGGAACGGCUGUUAAUACCGCAUAAGCGCACAGUACCGCAUGGUACGGUGUGUAAAACUCCGGUGGUGUGAGAUGGACCCGCGUCUGAUUAGCUAGUUGGCAGGGCAGCGGCCUACCCAGGCGACGAUCAGUAGCCGACCUGAGAGGGGGACCGGCCACAGUGGGACUGAGACACGGCCCAAACUCCUACGGGAGGCAGCAGUGGGGAAUAUUGCACAAUGGGGGAAACCCUGAUGCAGCGACGCCGCGUGAGCGAAGAAGUAUUUCGGUAUGUAAAGCUCUAUCAGCAGGGAAGAAGAAAUGACGGUACCUGACUAAGAAGCACCGGCUAAAUACGUGCCAGCAGCCGCCGUAA
rnacentral:rRNA from 1 species